rnacentral:rRNA from 1 species
AGAGCGAACGCUGGCGGCAGGCCUAACACAUGCAAGUCGAGCGCCCGUAGCAAUACGGGAGCGGCAGACGGGAUAGUAACACGUGGGAACGCGCCCUUCGGUUCGGAAUAACUCAGGGAAACUUGAGCUAAUACCGGAUACGCCCUUACGGGGAAAGAUUUAUUGCCGAAGGAACGGCCCGCGUCCGAUUAGCUAGUUGGUGAGGUAAUGGCUCACCAAGGCGACGAUCGGUAGCUGGUCUGAGAGGAUGACCAGCAUCACUGGGACUGAGACACGGCCCAGACUCCUACGGGAGGCAGCAGUGGGGAAUAUUGGACAAUGGGCGCAAGCCUGAUCCAGCCAUGCCGCGUGGAUGAUGAAGGCCGUUAGGGUUGUAAAGUCCGUUUUAACGGGGAAGAUAAUGACGGUACCCGUAGAAUAAGCCCGGCUAACUUCGUGCCAGCAGCCGC